GGCGGCAGGCCUAACACAUGCAAGUCGAGCGCGCCCUUCGGGGUGAGCGGCGGACGGGUUAGUAACGCGUGGGAAUAUGCCCGACACUAAGGAAUAGCCUCUGGAAACGGAGAGUAAUACCUUAUACGCCCUUCGGGGGAAAGAUUUAUCGGUGACGGAUUAGCCCGCGUUAGAUUAGAUAGUUGGUGGGGUAUGGCCUACCAAGUCUACGAUCUAUAGCUGGUUUUAGAGGAUGAUCAGCAACACUGGGACUGAGACACGGACCAGACUUCUACGGAAGGCAGCAGUAAGGAAUAUUGGACAAUGGAGGCAACUCUGAUCCAGCCAUGCCGCGUGAAGGAAGACGGCCUUAUGGGUUGUAAACUUCUUUUAUACAGGAAGAAACCUUUCCACGUGUGGAAAGCUGACGGUACUGUAAGAAUAAGGAUCGGCUAACUCCGUGCCAGCAGCCGCGGUAAUACGGGAGUGGCAAGCGUUAUCCGGAAUUAUUGGGCGUAAAGCGUCCGCAGGCGGCCCUUCAAGUCUGCUGUUAAAAAGUGGAGCUUAACUCCAUCAUGGCAGUGGAAACUGUUGGGCUUGAGUGUGGUAGGGGCAGAGGGAAUUCCCGGUGUAGCGGUGAAAUGCGUAGAUAUCGGGAAGAACACCAGUGGCGAAGGCGCUCUGCUGGGCCAUCACUGACGCUCAUGGACGAAAGCCAGGGGAGCGAAAGGGAUUAGAUACCCCUGUAGUCCUGGCCGUAAACGAUGAACACUAGGUGUCGGGGGAAUCGACCCCCUCGGUGUCGUAGCCAACGCGUUAAGUGUUCCGCCUGGGGAGUACGCACGCAAGUGUGAAACUCAAAGGAAUUGACGGGGGCCCGCACAAGCGGUGGAGUAUGUGGUUUAAUUCGAUGCAACGCGAAGAACCUUACCAGGGUUUGACAUCCUGCGAAUCUCUUGGAAACAGGAGAGUGCCUUCGGGAACGCAGUGACAGGUGGUGCAUGGCUGUCGUCAGCUCGUGUCGUGAGAUGUUGGGUUAAGUCCCGCAACGAGCGCAACCCACGUCUUUAGUUGCCAGCAUUUAGUUGGGCACUCUAGAGAGACUGCCGGUGAUAAACCGGAGGAAGGUGUGGAUGACGUCAAGUCAUCAUGCCCCUUACAUCCUGGGCUACACACGUACUACAAUGCUACGGACAAAGGGCAGCAAGUUCGCGAGGACAAGCAAAUCCCAUAAACCGUGGCUCAGUUCAGAUCGUAGGCUGCAACUCGCCUACGUGAAGGCGGAAUCGCUAGUAAUCGCAGGUCAGCAUACUGCGGUGAAUACGUUCCCGGGCCUUGUACACACCGCCCGUCACACCAUGGAAGUUGGCCACGCCCGAAGCCGUUACUCCAAUCCUUGUGGAGGAGGACGUCGAAGGUGGGGCUGAUGACUGGGGUGAAGUCGUAACAAGG
rnacentral:rRNA from 1 species